rnacentral:rRNA from 1 species
AACGAACGCUGGCGGCAGGCCGAACACAUGCAAGUCGAACGAGACCUUCGUGUCUGGUUGCGCACAGGUGCGUAACGCGUGGGAACCUUCCGGUAUAUUCGGAAUAACUCCCCUUCAGGGGGGCUAAUACCGGGUAAUGUCUGCUGAUCACAGAUUCAUCGCCUUGGUAGGGGCCCGCGUUGGUUUAGCUAGUUGGUAGGGUAAAAGCCUACCAAGGCUUCGAUCCAUAGCGGGUAUGAGAGGAAGAUCAGACACACUGGGACUGAGACACGGCCCAGAAUAUUACGGGAGGCAGCCGUGGCGAAUAUUGGCAUAUCGGCGAAAGCCUGAACCAGCACGGCCGCGUGAGCGAUGAAGGUCUUAGGGUUGUAAAGCACUUUUACACGGGAUGAUACUGACAGUACCGGGAGAAUAAGCUCCGGCUAACUUCGUG